rnacentral:rRNA from 1 species
AUGAACGCUGGCGGCGUGCCUAAUACCUGCAAGUCGAGCGAACGGACGAGAAGCUUGCUUCUCUGAUGUUAGCGGCGGACGGGUGAGUAACACGUGGAUAACCUACCUAUAAGACUGGGAUAACUUCGGGAAACCGGAGCUAAUACCGGAUGAUAUUUUGAACCGCAUGGUUCAAAAGUGAAAGACGGUCUUGCUGUCACUUAUAGAUGGAUCCGCGCUGCAUUAGCUAGUUGGUAAGGUAACGGCUUACCAAGGCAACGAUGCAUAGCCGACCUGAGAGGGUGAUCGGCCACACUGGAACUGAGACACGGUCCAGACUCCUAAGGGAGGCAGCAGUAGGGAAUCUUCCGCAAUGGGCGAAAGCCUGACGGAGCAACGCCGCGUGAGUGAUGAAGGUCUUCGGAUCGUAAAACUCUGUUAUUAGGGAAGAACAUAUGUGUAAGUAACUGUGCACAUCUUGACGGUACCUAAUCAGAAAGCCACGGCUAACUACGUG